rnacentral:rRNA from 1 species
UACGAAGGGUGCAAGCGUUAAUCGGAAUUACUGGGCGUAAAGGGCGCGCAGGCGGCCUUAGAAGUCAGAUGUGAAAGCCCCGGGCUCAACCUGGGAAUGGCAUUUGAUACUCUGAGGCUGGAGUACGGGAGAGGAGAGUGGAAUUCCCAGUGUAGAGGUGAAAUUCGUAGAUAUUGGGAAAGAACACCGGUGGCGAAGGCGGCUCUCUGGACCGUAACUGACGCUGAGGCGCGAAAGCGUGGGGAGCAAACAGG